AGCAGCCGCGGUAAUUCCAGCUCCAAUAGCGUAUAUUAAAGUUGUUGCAGUUAAAAAGCUCGUAGUUGAAUUUCGGGGUCAGUAGGUCGGUCGUGCCACUGGUAUGAACUGGUUUUACUGAUUUCCUCCCUCUUGAAGAACUGUAAUGCCAUUAAUUUGGUGUUGCAGGGAAUCAGGACUGUUACUUUGAAAAAAAUUAGAGUGUUUAAAGCAGGCUUUAGCUUGAAUACAUUAGCAUGGAAUAAUGAAAUAGGACGUUUGAUCCUAUUUUGUUGGUUUCUAGGAUUGACGUAAUGAUUAAUAGGGAUAGUUGGGGGCAUUAGUAUUCAAUUGUCAGAGGUGAAAUUCUUGGAUUUAUUGAAGACUAACUACUGCGAAAGCAUUUGCCAAGGAUGUUUUCAUUAAUCAAGAACGAAAGUUAGGGAUCGAAGACGAUCAGAUACCGUCGUAGUCUUAACCAUAAACUAUGCCGACUAGGGAUCGGAUGAUGUUAAUUUUUUAAUGACUCAUUCGGCGCCUU
rnacentral:rRNA from 1 species